CCUACGGGAGGCAGCAGUCGAGAAUCAUUCACAAUGGGCGAAAGCCUGAUGGUGUGACGCCGCGUGGAGGAUGAAGGUCUUCGGAUUGUAAACUCCUGUCAAGUGGGAGUAACGCUGCGCGUUAACUGCGUCGCAGUUUGAGAGUACCACUAGAGGAAGAGACGGCUAACUCUGUGCCAGCAGCCGCGGUAAU
rnacentral:rRNA from 1 species